rnacentral:rRNA from 1 species
AACCAGUACCGUGAGGGAAAGGCGAAAAGAACCCCGGCGAGGGGAGUGAAAAAGAACCUGAAACCGUGUACGUACAAGCAGUGGGAGCACAGAGCAAUCUGUGUGACUGCGUACCUUUUGUAUAAUGGGUCAGCGACUUAUAUUCUGUAGCAAGGUUAACCGAAUAGGGGAGCCGAAGGGAAACCGAGUCUUAACUGGGCGUUAAGUUGCAGGGUAUAGACCCGAAACCCGGUGAUCUAGCCAUGGGCAGGUUGAAGGUUGGGUAACACUAACUGGAGGACCGAACCGACUAAUGUUGAAAAAUUAGCGGAUGACUUGUGGCUGGGGGUGAAAGGCCAAUCAAACCGGGAGAUAGCUGGUUCUCCCCGAAAGCUAUUUAGGUAGCGCCUCGUGAAUUCAUCUCCGGGGGUAGAGCACUGUUUCGGCAAGGGGGUCAUCCCGACUUACCAACCCGAUGCAAACUGCGAAUACCGGAGAAUGUUAUCACGGGAGACACACGGCGGGUGCUAACGUCCGUCGUGAAGAGGGAAACAACCCAGACCGCCAGCUAAGGUCCCAAAGUCAUGGUUAAGUGGGAAACGAUGUGGGAAGGCCCAGACAGCCAGGAUGUUGGCUUAGAAGCAGCCAUCAUUUAAAGAAAGCGUAAUAGCUCACUGGUCGAGUCGGCCUGCGCGGAAGAUGUAACGGGGCUAAACCAUG